CGCUCGCAAGGCACGCCGGGAAAUGAAGUCCGACUGCUCCUGUCUCUCCAGAAGCAUCCAUGUUGUUCUCCCAACGCGUUUGGUCUUACCCGGAGUUUGUGCAAUACAACAGGACGCUCUCCUCACGUGAAUACGAAUCUUCUUUUUUCUGUCCUGUAUCACAUUGGAGAAAACCACUUUGCUCUGCAUUGCUAGUGUCUUUUAGGUAUCCCUCAGUGAGUAUGAACAGCGGCAUUUCCCAGCUCCCUAUUCAAGUUGCCACACACCACAGCCACCGCUUUGAGGUACCAAUGGAAACUGUAAGCAGGUGCCAAAAUUCACAUAGUGUUUUUUACAGGUAAUGCUUAAAGUUUUUGAAAUAAUUCCACGUGUGUGUUCUGACGCCCUUUGCCCUUCACAGAUCCGUUUAUACAUAUUAGCCUCGUAAAAUACUCACUUUUUCUCCUCUUCACUGCGAUCCAUUUGUCUUUUCAGCAGGUUUAUGUUCAACGCUAUUGGAGUAGAACGGUGAUCGUACCAUUUAACCCAACAGCUAGCUGGGCUUGAAAACGUAUCCAUCCCCUUCCUAUUAAUGACUCCUUAAUGCCUAUUUCUAUCACGCAGACUCGUGUAUCAUCCUGGUUUAUUUCGGAGGAAUAUAGCCACAGGAUGACAAUUAUUGAUGGAGCAUAAAAACUGGAGCUAAAGACCAUGUAAAGAAGAAAACGGAGCUGAUGUGGGAAGAGAUGAAAAGAUGAAAAAUUGACUAGAGAAGAAAAUUAGAAUGAACUAAUUUACAAAAGAAAAUGAACAAACCACAGCCAGAUGCAUUCAGCUGUGCUCCCUUUAAGUCAAAGUGCACCUUCUUUGGAGAAUUGAGAAUGGAGACAUUACUUUCUGAAAGAAAACUUCUGUAAAUCACGAUAUUGAUAUAGUCAGGUGGAUGAAAAGACUGACGUUGAAAUCGGAUUUACGUUAAAACACCCUGUGCAGCUACAACUUUGUGCUAUAUGGGAAUACAAAAAAGUAGAGAUGGAAUCAACGCACCAGAGACGCUUACCUCUUCCGCUGUGGAUCCAUGCGGACUGUAGUAGUAGCCACCAUCAUUCUCCACCACGACUUCCCCGUACUCAUCAUACAUCCCCGAAGGAGACAGCAGCCGGCGGCGGCUCCCAUACUGAGGCAAUUCAUACCUGGCAAAAACACCACUGUCUCUUCAUAACGUGCCCCACAAAUGCACACACUCAUUUUGACAGGACAAGAAUUUCUUUGCUCUCUUUUCUCUCUACCUUUGAGAAGGGUUUUUUUUGGCUUCACGGUAACAGAAUCCAAAACCUCUUCCUGUUGGAAUUGGCUGUUACAACUGGAGGGCGACCCAAAUUGCCAGGUCUCUGGGAUCAGGCAAAAAUCCCCCAAGUGCAAUGACCUUCUUUCCAGGUUUACCUGAUUUUUUUGGGGGGGAUCUUUUUUUAAAAUGGGGGAUGAAAAAGCGGGUUCCCUGGGAUCAGUUCUGGAGGAUCCCUGCAAGUUCUUAUGAAUAGCAAUAAUCCCUGAAGUGCUUGCAGUCAGACGGGCAGUAUCAGAACAAGUUUUUCUAGGUAAAUGUAAAAGGCCAGACGCUGGCUGGAAACUGUGAGCAGGAAGUAUCAGUCACUGAAUGCAGGCUGGUGAGCCACAGAAGGGGAGGAGAUGAUGGAAAUUAAUUCCCAAGACAGCAGAUAUAUGCAAAUAAAAAAGCUAAUAUAAACCCAGCAUGAUAGAAGGGGUAUAUGCUCUGCAGUCUAAUAAUUAGAUUCCUAAAGAAGCAGAGAGUUCACAACGCCCCUUUAACUUUUAAAAAGAGUUUUGUUCUCAGUGCACGCCUUUGCGGACAGAAAGAUUAAAAUAAUCUUGAGGCGAAGGAAGGUCUCCAGAUUAGGUGCUGUGAUAAUAAAUAUCACCAACCUGAAAAAGCAGCAUUUUCAGAAAUAUAUAGGAAAAAAGA